rnacentral:tRNA from 1 species
UUCUCCUCGGUGUUUUGGCACAAAAAAAUUUGAGUUUUUAAGAGAUUUUAAGAUCAGGAGAAG